rnacentral:rRNA from 1 species
UACGUAGGGCGCAAGCGUUGUCCGGAAUUAUUGGGCGUAAAGAGCUCGUAGGCGGCUUGUCACGUCGGGUGUGAAAGCCCGGGGCUUAACCCCGGGUCUGCAUUCGAUACGGGCUGGCUAGAGUGUGGUAGGGGAGAUCGGAAUUCCUGGUGUAGCGGCGAAAUGCGCAGAUAUCAGGAGGAACACCGGUGGCGAAGGCGGAUCUCUGGGCCAUUACUGACGCUGAGGAGCGAAAGCGUGGGGAGCGAACAGG